rnacentral:piRNA from 1 species
AGGGUGAAUCUUCUAAGUGAUUGACAAGGA